rnacentral:rRNA from 1 species
GAACGACUCUCGGCAACGGAUAUCUCGGCUCUCGCAUCGAUGAAGAACGUAGCGAAAUGCGAUACUUGGUGUGAAUUGCAGAAUCCCGUGAACCAUCGAGUCUUUGAACGCAAGUUGCGCCCGAAGCCUUCUGGCCGAGGGCACGUCUGUCUGGGCGUCACGCA